CCCUUAGAUGUUCUGGGCUGCACACGUGCUACACUGGCAGGUUCAGCGAGCUUCAUGCCCUGAUCUGAAAGGAAUGGGAAAUCUUUUCAAAACCUGCCGUGCUUGGGAUAGAUGUUUGCAAUUAUUCAUCUUCAACGAGGAUUGCCUUGUAAGCGCACGUCAUCAGCGUGCAUUGAAUACGACCCUGUAUUCUGUACACACCGCCCGUCGCUACUACCGAUUGAACGUUUUAGUGAGGCAUUUGGACCGACGCAUCUCAGUUUAACCGCUGGUUUGUGUUGGAAAGACUUCCAAACUUGAGCGUUUAGAGGAAGUAAAAGUCGUAACA
rnacentral:rRNA from 1 species